UCUGGGAAGGGUGGGGUGGUCAUGAAGUCCUGAGAGAGCAGAGGGACACACCAACUUCUCUUGUUGGUUCCCUCAACCCUGCCCAUACCUAUGGGUAAUCAGAGAUGGAUUCAGUCUCCAGUUAGGAUCCUCAUCAAGGUAUUUGUAUGGGGGAUUCCAUGCAGAUGGUGUAUAGAGAGAAGAUAGACACAAGGGAUCUUCAUAGCCAAGGACUGGAUUUGAACAAGUCAGUCUCCAGCUAUGUUUUAGAGACUGAGGACUGUGCCCGUCAUCCCUUAGAGCUUCUCUCUGGGCCACUGGCUCGAAGGGCACAUAUCAGGGAAAAAGAAUUCACAACGGAACAUCAACAUAUCCAAAAGACAAGUUUCAAUGAACAGAUUCUCAGCAAAAGGACUCUAAGGAUGCAGAGGAAGGGAAGUCGCCCUAUCUGGGAAGGAGGUCAUGAAACUACAAGGAAAGAUGCAGAAAUCAUCACAGGAUGACUAAGUGCAAUGUGGAAACCUGGAUUGGAUCCUGGAAUGGAAAAACGAGCAUUGUGACUUCAGAAAGAACCUAGUGUGAGGAGGAGAUGGGAUGAAAAGGAGAUAAAAGAAGACAUCAUUCAAAGAUGCAUACAGGGAAGAUCAACCCUUCUGGGUCUCAGGGUGGUUCAUGGAUAAUCCAAUCAAGGAG